rnacentral:tmRNA from 1 species
GGGGGUGACUUUGGCUUCGACGGGAUUAUUGGUUCUUUGAACUGCGCACCGUGUUCGCCGUAGACACGUUAAACGACGGUAAAAAAAAUAAAUGGCGAAUAUAAUUACGCUCUCGCUGCGUAAAUAAACGCAGCCGUUCUUCAAUUCUACUCACGCUGGGGAUUGAAAGAACGCCGCACAGUGUGAUAGCUGAAUCGAGAGUCUGUGUAGAUGAAGCGAAACUUUUAACAGAAUAGUCCUAUUAAAAUCUGUUUGCCGAUGUUAAUGGGAUGAAAUUAAAAGACAGACUAUGUGUGUAGACGUUCAUAGAAAAGUAAUUUCGGACCGGGGUUCGACUCCCCGCACCUCCACUA